UACGGAGGGUGCGAGCGUUAAUCGGAAUUACUGGGCGUAAAGCGUGCGUAGGCGGCCAUUUAAGCCAGAUGUGAAAGCCCCGGGCUCAACCUGGGAACGGCAUUUGGAACUGGGUGGCUGGAGUUUGGUAGAGGGGGGCGGAAUUCCGGGUGUAGCGGUGAAAUGCGUAGAUAUCCGGAGGAACACCAGUGGCGAAGGCGGCCCCCUGGACCAGAACUGACGCUGAGGCACGAAAGCGUGGGUAGCAAACAGG
rnacentral:rRNA from 1 species